AGUCGGGGGCGGGGCCCGGCGAGGGGCGGGGCUCGCUCGGGGAGCCGAACCCGGAGGCCCUGGCGGCGGAGCCGGAGCGGUCACCGCCCGUCAGGCCGCCGCGCGUCGUCGUCCCGCGGCUAGGCGCAGCGUUUCUCCCGGCGGCGCGGCAGCUUCCGAGAGUGGGCCGCCGGGCACAGGUUUCUAAAAGGCAGAAAGAUGGAGGAAUCAGUAAGCCAAAUGCAGCCGAUGCACGAGACGCAGCUCGCCAAUUCCGAAGGUGGAUACGUGUGGCAGGUCACUGACAUGAAUCGGCUGCACCGCUUCUUAUGUUUUGGUUCCGAAGGUGGGACGUAUUAUAUCCAAGAACAGAGGCUGGGCCUCCAGAACGCUGAAGCUUUACUUCGACUGAUUGAAGACGGCAGGGGAUGUGAAGUGAUACAGGAAAUAAAGUCAUUUAGUCAGGAGGGCAGAAACGCAAAGCAGGAGCCCACGCUCUUUGCACUCGCCAUCUGCUCCCAGUGCUCCGACACCAGCACCAAGCAAGCCGCCUUCAAAGCUGUUCCCGAAGUUUGUCGCAUCCCCACACAUCUCUUUACCUUCAUCCAGUUUAAGAAAGAUCUCAAGGAAAGCAUGCAUUGCGGCAUGUGGGGUCGUGCCCUCCGCAAGGCCGUGGCCGACUGGUACAACGAAAAAGGAGGCAUGGCCCUCGCCCUGGCAGUUACAAAAUACAAACAGAGAAAUGGCUGGUCUCACAAAGAUCUCUUAAGAUUGUCGCACCUCAAGCCUUCCAGUGAAGGACUUGCUAUUGUCACCAAAUACAUCACCAAGGGCUGGAAAGAGGUCCAUGACACAUACAAAGAAAAAGCCCUCUCCGUGGAGACGGAAAGGUUACUCAAGUACCUGGAGGCUGUGGAGAAAGUGAAACGCACCAGAGACGAACUGGAAGUCAUCCAUCUGAUAGAAGAGCACAGGCUGGUUCGGGAGCAUCUCCUGACAAAUCACCUCAAGUCCAAAGAGGUAUGGAAAGCUUUGUUACAAGAAAUGCCUCUUACAGCGUUACUAAGAAACCUUGGAAAAAUGACCGCGAAUUCAGUGCUUGAACCAGGAAACUCAGAAGUAUCUUUAGUAUGUGAAAAACUGUGUAAUGAGAAGCUGUUAAAAAAGGCUCGGAUACAUCCAUUUCAUGUGUUAGUUGCAUUAGAAACUUAUAAAACAGGUCACGGGCUCAGAGGAAAACUGAAGUGGCGCCCUGAUGAAGAAAUUUUGCAAGCUUUGGAUGCUGCUUUUUACAAAACAUUUAAGAUGGUUGAGCCAACGGGAAAGCGUUUCCUGCUGGCAGUUGAUGUCAGCGGGUCUAUGGAGCAAAGGGUUUUGGGCAGCAUCCUCAGCGCUAGCACAGUGGCUGCAGCCAUGUGCAUGGUGGUCACACGAACAGAAAGCGACUCUUACAUAGUUGCUUUUUCAGAUGAAAUGGUACCCUGUCCACUGACUACAGAUAUGACCUUACAGCAGGUUCUAAUGGCUAUGAGUCAGAUCCCAGCAGGGGAAACAGAUUGUUCUCUUCCAAUGAUCUGGGCUCAGAAGACAAACACAGCUGCUGACGUCUUCAUUGUGUUCACUGAUAAUGAGACCUUUGCUGGAAGUGUCCACCCUGCUGCCGCUCUGAGGGAGUAUCGAAAGAAAAUGGGCAUUCCGGCUAAACUGAUUGUUUGCGGAAUGGCAUCCAAUGGUUUCACCAUUGCCGACCCAGAUGACAGAGGCAUGUUGGAUAUGUGUGGCUUUGACACAGGCGCCCUGGAUGUCAUUCGAAACUUCACGUUAGAUGUGAUCUAACCACCAGCACCAGCACAAUCCAAGAGGUCCGUUGCCAGCAGUGAUCGCGCUAAAAAAAAAUACGCAGCUACUUCCCAGCUGAUCUUAAUCCAACAGACAGAGUAAGGCGAUGGUAUAGAGUGGGAAAAUGGAAAGUUUACCUUACCAAAAAAAAAAAAAAGAAAGGAAGGGAAGUACGAUGAGCCCAAAGUUCUUUCUGUUUCUCCUAAACUAGCUCUUGGGAAAUAGCUUCAGAAUACACUGUAGCCCCUCUAUCUAAGAGAGAACUCGUUAAUAGACACUGUACAAUAGUUUUGCUUUGGUGAAUAAUCACAUUUGUACUUAAAAGAAACGAGAGCCAAAAGUGUAAGUAGUUCCCUAUCCUGUCACCUGUUUGAGAAAUGCUUAAAGUUUUCUUAAAUGUUUUCAUCGGUAAAGGACAGCUUUGAUAAUGUCCCCAUUCUCUGAAAUGCACUGGACCAUGUAACUGUGAUGGAAUAUGAAACUCAUCUGUAAACUCUUAUACCGAGGGAGUUAAAACGGAACCAAGAUGUUCGAUUAAAUUAUGAGUUUUACAAAUUCCUUUAACAGUUUUCUACAGUCACACAAAUAGCAGCUUUCUUAGUGAAGAAAAUACUUUGUUUCUCAUCUUUUUUUUGCUUUUCUUUUUUCCCCCCAGUGGCCACACGUGUGGCAUGUGGAAGUUGCUAGGCCAGGGAUUGAAUGGGAACCAUGGCUGUGGCAAUGCUGGAUCCUUUAACCUACUGCUCCAGGCCAGGGAUCAAACGUGUGCCUCCACAGCGACGCGAGUCGCAAGCCCACUUGCCCUGGUGGGCUCCUCUGGUGUUUUAUCUACACUUGUGGAAUUGUUGCUGUUAACCAGAAACAGAGUGGGAGACCCCUGGGUGGAGAGUCUAAAAUGGGUGCCAGCUGAGCAAGUCUGUGUGGUUUGCUUUUGUUUCCUGCUGUGAGUGAGGGCAUGACCUGACAGUUUCCUCUCACUUAUAACGACAUUGCUGGUGUAGGCACAGGCUCUGGUUUUAAUAUGCUUUUUUUUUUUUUUUUUUUUUUUUUUUUUUUUUGGUCUUUUUAGGGCCGUACCGCGGCAUAUGGAAGUACCCAGGCUAGGGGUCUGAUAGGAGCUGCAGCUGCCGGCCCACACCACAGCCACAGCAACCUGGGAUCCGAGCCGCGCCUGCGACCUACACCACAGCUCAUGGCAAUGCCCGAUCCUUAACCCACAUCCUCAUGGAUAUGAGUCAGGUUCAUUAACCAUUGAGCCAUGACGGGAACUCCUGUUUUUCAUACUCUUAAAUGAAAGCAUAAGAUGUUUCAGUGAUUUAACUCAUAAUCUGAAAGUGUGACAGUUAUAAAAUCUCAGCUCUAAUCAGAUUAGCUUUUUCCUUACUUUAAAAGUAUUGUUUUACUUUUAACAAUUUUUUAUCCAAUUGUAAAUGAGUUUUAGAUAGUUGUUUGUUUUUUAAUGGCCACACCUGCAGCAUAUGGAAGUUCCUGGGCCUGGGAUUGAAUCUGAGGUAGAGCAGCAACCAAUGCUGCACCUGCUCAGGCCGCAUCCUUUAAGCCACCGCACCAGGCUGGGGACCAAACCCGGCCUCCGCAGCAACCCAGGCUGUUGCAGUCAGAUUCGUAACCCAGUGUGCCACUGCAGGAACUCCAGUUUUAGAUCCUUCUAACUGUAAAUAUGUCAGUGGCCUCCUGUCUCUUUGUCCAUUAUUCGUUUGUUGUGAUAGCGUAAAAAAGUAAUAAAGUGAGCUUGCUCUUUCAGAUUUGAAAGGCAGUUUUUGAGUGGCAUAUUACCACUAACAAGCCUGUUAGAAAUUAAUUUUUUCUGUUUAUUUGUAUAAACUUCCUCUUUAUUAUAUAUACAUAAUUUUUUUUUUUUUUUUGGGUCCUUUUAGGGCCACAGGUGAGGCACAUGGAAGUUCCCAGGCUAGGGGUCGGAUCAGCUGCAGCUGCUGGCCUACACCACAGCCAUGGCCACACCAGAUCCAAGCAGUGUCUGUGACCUACACAGAAGCCCAUAGCGACACCAGAUCCUUAACCCCCUGAGUGAGGACAGGGAUCGAACCUGCGUCCUCAGAGAUGUUAGUCGGGUUCUUUACCUCUGAGCUACAACAGGAACUCCUCCACUUCAUGAUAAAGUGCAUUAUUUUCUUGAGCAAAUAGCCCUUCUUUGUGGGCAGGUAUAACCUGUUGAAAUGCCAGUAUAUUUGCUCAAAAUUAUAUCAUGGUUGUCUAAAAUAAGGUACAGAGAAAACUUCAGUUUUUAUGUAUUAUUCUUUAACUGUAAUUAGAGGUUUACUGGGAAUUUAUAAAGCCCUUCUCACUAUUAUAUGAAAAGUCAAACUAGUAAAUAUAAAUUACAGACCUGUGUGUGCUUGGGAGUUAGAGGCUGUAGCUUAUGGGGCAAGGGGGACUUAGGAAUGUCAGCGUUGGCAUAGACAGUUCCUUCUGUUCCCUGAGAAAUUUGGGCUCUGGGAGUGACAAGAAAAUGUUCCUUUCAGACUUACUCGAUAUAAUAUAAUGCUGGCUCUAAUAUGCAGCCCUUCUUUCAAGGCAACUGGUAGCAAUUUGUAAAUAUUGUGAUUGACAUGAGUUGUUGUUUUUUUUUUUUUUUUUUUGGUCAGCAAAGUUAGUAGCACCACUCCUCACAGCUCCCCCCGCCCCAAACACAUUGCUUCUCAUAUUUUUCUGUUUUUACCCUCUGUCAGGCAUUGGAUUGUUAGCUACUUUUGAUACAUUAAAAUACUAGGUUCAGAUUGAAUUUAAAGAACUUAGUAACAUUAUGUAUUAGUACUUGAAUUCAAGUAAACCUACUGUCUUAAAAGAAAAAUUAUAAUAUGAGCUAACCUUUAAUGCAUAGUAGAAACUUUAAGUGGACUAUAGAAUAUUUAUUUCCUUCCGUUAAGUACUGUUUCUACAUUGCUUUUAGAUAUGUUCAGGAACUAAUAUUAAAUCCGUCAGAGAAGUAAGAUUAGAUAAGACCUUUCACAAGUCACAUAGGUAAGUCUAUUAAAUGGCUGAGGGUCAGGUUUAAGAAGCAAAAAAGAAGGAAAAGCAACCACAGGGGGUAGUUUUAUUUUCAAAUCUUGGCGCUUUGGAGCUGGAAGAAAGGUUAGACAUUUAAAAGGUAAAUUUUUUCUUUUCAAUUUUUUUGCUUUUUAGGGCUGCACCCGAGGCAUAUGGAGGUUCCUGGGCUAGGGGUCAAAUCGGAACUGCCGGUGGCAGCUCAUGGCAGUGCCCCAUCCCUGACCCGCCGAGCAAGGCCAGGGAUCGAACCUGCAUCUUUCUGGAUACUCGUCGGAUUGACUUCCGCUGAGCCACAGCAGGACCUCCAAAAGGUCAUUUUUACAUUUAGAACAGGGAUCUGAGGUCUGAGAGUGGGUGGCUUUGGAGCAAGAGAUCUAGAAUGCUUGGUCUCUUCACUCUCAUUCCAGUAUGCGUUUCCCCGCCAAAACGGGAAGAUACUGACUUGCAAGAGCAGGGGUAAAACAGAAUGAUUCCAGGCUUUUAUCUUCUUAGGUAUUAGGAAAUAAUGUAUAUACCUGAUUGCUUCCGGAGGGGAAAGAGGAGUUGAGAACAUGUAAACCUCUGUAGCUCACAGCAGCCCUCAAGCACCAUUAAUGUCUUAAUAACCGUGUUGCGACGCAGCGUAGUUCCUUAGGAAGAGUAAGAAAACUGCACCCCGUUAUGAGUAAGAGGUGCUCAAGUGACCAAGAAGUUUUAUUUUCCGAAUUACUUUUAGCUUUUUUGCUGAUGGGGAAAAUGUUGCUUUUAAAAAACAAUCCUAAGAAACAUCAACUUUAUUUCCUAGAAAAUACGUAAAUAUUUUCAGGAUAUAGUCGUACUUAGUAAAACCAAAACUCCUAAUUCUCUCCUUCCUCGUUAGUUGACAUUUCUUGGGAAUUCCACUCACUAACCCUGUUACGUAUUAUUCAGCUUAGCAACCAUCGGAUGGGAGCGUUAGGAAGGUGAUCGGAGUGGGGUUUAUUUAGCGUCACUCUCUGGAACCUCCUUCGCUUCAUCUAACUUACUGUGUGUGACUGCAGACCGCCUUUAAAAAGGAACAUAUCUGAUGCUUGGAUCCUAGGGCAAUUAUAUCUUUGUAAAGUUUCUGUUGGGAAGAGGGCUUGCCAUACAAGUUAGAACUUUUGAAACUUAAAAACACUUCAUAGGAUAUAUGUUUCCAAAGAUAAAAUGUUUCUGAAAAAUAGCUCAAUAGGCUCAGUCAUUUUUUAGAGCACUCCUGUUCUGAAUGGGAAAAUGUGAAAGAAGAACUUUAACAGAGAAGCGAAUGACUAAGAGGUUACUAUUCCCUGAUUAGAGAAAGAAGGAAUAUGUUCCAAGUCUAAGAUCCCAUUGCACAGAAGGAAAACAAACCCUAAAUGAGAAGGAUGCUCUUAGGAACCUGUGCGCAAUGAUUUAAAACAGCAGCUAAAUCUACCAGUGGCAGAAGGUUGGUUCAUCAGGUUUUUUUCCCCCGAGAUUCUGCAAAAACAAUUUAAAAUUGUUUUGGAAAUUUAAGACAGAAUUCCUUAGUGCAUUUCAAGAUCUGACAGUUAAGUGAGAAGCAUCUUCAGAAGCACAGUAGAGUUCUAGCUACACAAUUAAUGGGAAACCAUUGUGCUCACUUUUUGGACUGACUCUAAUUUGACCCAAAGAUCAUCUACCCACAGGUUUCUUGGCAAAUCCCUUACAGUUAAAAUCAAAAAGGAAAAGUUCUAGUCUUGUGCACCACAGAUGUGGGGUGUACCCCUCCUGGAGAAAUGUCAGCGCUUCCGUGUAAACCCGUACAAGGGAGAAUUUGAAAAAAAGGAUAAACGAUUCGAAUAGUCAUAGGUACUGUGUGGGUUUUAUUUAAUACAUCCCAAUUAUCUGCUCUUUAAUGUCUUAUUUGUUGGAAGAUUAUCUCUGUACCUUUUCUUUCCUUUAAAAUUUCUUCUAACGUUUUUGUCUUGGUUUUUCUAGUCCUGCUCUACUUGGGUAAUAAAAUGAGUGACAGGAAAGUCACCCAAAUACAGGUUCAGGAUACAUCUUUUGCUGAUUGCUUUUUGUUUCAUGGUGAUUUAAGAUUUUUUUUUUUCCCAAGUUAAUAACGGGCAGGUCUCUUGGAACAAAAACCGAGCUGAUAAAUGCUCUCCCCAAAUCAGUGACAUCAUGUACCUUUUGUAUUAGGCGUUUGCAGAAAUGUGGUGGCCUUUCAGUAAAACGAAUUAUUCAGCUCUUGUUGGCAAUUACUAGAUGGAACUAGCUCUUAGAAAAAGCACUCUAAAAAAUAAUUAAUCAAAUACUCUUUCAGAAAAUAGACUGUCUCAGUGGUUGCAUUUCCGUAAGUAGAAAGAUCACCCUCAAAAUCUCUGGCCCACCAAGUACCUCACGGAACUUAUGUAUAUGUGUGGGGGUAGCAUAAAAGAUCUUGUAAAUUACCUGUAUCCACUUUCAACCUUUUUUUAACAUAACAUUCACAUUUUUUAUGUUCUAUUUGCUUUUGAUAAUUAGUAAGACAAUUUAAAAAUUAAUCCUAUGGUAAUAUUUUUCAUGUAGAAAACUAAUAAUGUAGUUAAACAUACUGUUGGAGUAGAAUUAUAAUAAAUGACACAUUUUCCUAAACCCUGAAAAUACCAAAUUAUACAGGGAAUUGGUAGAAAGAAUCAAACUUAGGAAUUAUGUUGCAAAAUUCAAUUACUGAAAUUAAGAUGAUUGUUUUCAAUGAGAAUUAAUUUUAUAAAUACGACGAAAAUAUAUAAAAAGAUAUUUCCGAGCCUUAGGAGAUUUUUUUUCCCUUUUGCUUCUAUUCAAUUUAGCACCGCCAUGCACCAUAUUAAUUUAAUGAACAUAAGUGAUACUCUUUCAUUUUAAAAUACAUUUAACUUUCUCUCCUUUUAGAAGUUAUCAGAAUCUGUACUAAGUUAGCUAUGUUUCACCGGUUUCACUUAAUGAACACUUAGGGUAGUUAAUCUGGUUAGAGCCUUGCUAUUUUACUUACCAUUACCACUUACAAUUGAUGGAAUACUAUAUUAGUACAAACAUGGCAUCAAAACUUGUGUUAAAAUACUAACUAGACUGCAGCUGCAGUGCAGACGCCUUAGAAUCCAUACAAAUUAAAUAUUACACAAUUAAUGAAUAGUAGCCAAGAAAAAUGUUUUUCUUGCACUGUUACUCUGAAGAUGGGGUGCAUGUCAUUUGGUGUGUGGUGUAACUAGACAGAACUGCGUGUCACGCAUUGGCGUUACAAGGUCCUCCUCUGUUGCCAGCUUCUGGUAAUGAAGACUUUCUCCAGUUUCUGACAUAAAUACAUGAAAUCAUCUUUUUUUAGAAAAAAUUGGUUGGGGAGGAGGUGUUGUAAUCCAGUUCUGAACUGUCCAUUUGCUUCAUAUAAAGGCUUCGGUGUCCAUAUUUGCCCACUCGAUAAACAUUUUCAUGAUAUAGACUAAUGCCUGCAUAGAAUAAAAAUUAAGUAUGCAAGAGCCUUAAAGUGAACUAAAUGAAACUGUUGACUGCCUUAACGAUGACCAGCUCUCCACACGGGCAUACUACUCCUUUGCAUAGGGUCUGUUCAUUAAGUAAUGCCUUAAUAGUGCCAGGGUUUCUGAAGCAUAGACUCAAAGGGACUUUUAUAUAAAGGACAGAAAUUUGACUAUUAAGUAUUAAAGCCUGAUUGUACAUCAGUAGUUGAAGCACCCACUAUCGGGAUAAUCUAGGCACACUGAUGCGUUACACACAGGUGACUUGCUAACCUCAGUACUGUUUUGUGGUAGUUCAGGUUUUUACUGUUUUGUAUAACAGAUUAUCCAAGAAGCUGGACUUUAUGUAAUAGGAUCUUCAAGGACCAAGUUGCAUAUUUAAACGCUAUAAGCGAAAAAGUACAGAUUUACAGAAAUGUACCAAUCAAAAAUGAUUCCUUUUUUACGGGAAUUUUUCGAGAGAAGAGGCAAAAAUUUUGUUUAAAGCCUACAAGCAAAUUCAUUCAAAGAACUGAAUACAGCUGUAGAACAUUGUGACUAUUGCAAUAAGAAGUAUCCAGGCCAGUGAUGUUUAAUUAUAUGAACGUUUUUACAUUCACUAUGCCUUUCAAAGCAGGGAUAUUUUAUAAAACUGAGAGAAAACUUUAAAUCGUCAAGCUGGUGCUUUAAAGUACAUAAAGUCUGAUCUGUAACAAGCUCCAUUUCAAAGGAAAAGACCUUGAAAGGAGAGGCAGGGGGCUUCCUAAGUCUGUUGAUGAACUCACUGAUGCUUUGAGUCUUCCAAGUUCACUGUAAAUAACAUACCUAACAAUGUAAUGUUGCUGUUUUCUAACAGAAGAUGGACGAAAUGGUAAUGUAUGGAAUUUAUUUCAUUACACAACAGUUUUCACUGAUACUGUGAAAUCUGGACUCUCCUUUCCAGCCCUGCCAAACCCCAUACUGAACAAAUCAUUCUGGACACAGAGGGCGGGUAGGCCCUGUACGAACUGUUCUGGUCACUUAUAUUCUUGUAGAAACUGGUAGAUGUACCAAAUAAAUUCUAUGCACAUCAAA